AAAAAACAUGUGACCAAUACAGGAAGUGUGUCAUUUGGAUGUGCUGUGCCAAAUUGUGUUUAUAAGGAAACAAACUGUUGACAUGUUGUGGAUUUUUUGGAUGGAGUUUUGCUGUUGCUGUCGGAUUUUGGAUUUUUGCUUGCCCUCACCUUGUUCCACUGACUUCAUGGAUCGUUCCAAGAAGUUUUCCCCCCAGUCUGGAAUAAUUUUGAUCUUUUGACGCUAAAUAAGAUAAAUCUUUUUCUCCUUUUUCUUAGUUUUUUUAAAUUAAAUAAGUUUGUACUCUUUUCUGGUAAGAGGUUUGAAUUGUUUUCAGAUAAAUUAACUUUUUAUUUUAUUGUAGGUGACGUGUCGGCUCUGCUCCACACGGCUAUCUUUACAUCAAUAAGAGCACUUCAUCAAUGUUGAGGUAUUAUAGAGCUCGGCAUGACAAUGAAGAAUUGGCAGAUACUAAUGGGAGUACCCCAGUUCCUAACAAGCAAGCUGUGGUCAACAUGAUCAUCAAAGACUGUCAGCCACUCACCAUUGUUGAAAAUGAGGGACUCAGGGAGCUCCUGAAGCUUAUCAAAUCACAGUAAAAUUUUUAUGCUCACCAUCUUCAUAUGUACCCUGUGAAAGAGUUUUAUCUGAGGUAGGGGAACUGGUGUCUAAGAGGAGAAAUUGCCUUUGAGCAAAGAAAAUAAUGAAAUUAAUAAAUGAAUGAAUAUUUUGUCUUUUAUUUCAUAUGAUUGAACACUGAAGUUAAACAAAAUAAGUUAAAAUGUUAACUCUGAAUUUGAUGACAAAUUUGCUAUAUUUUACACACCAACUAAUUUUAGCAUUUACACAAACAAGGUUUGAAGCAAAUUUUAAACUCUUCUCAUAAACAACUCAGGCAACAAAUUGAGCAAAUGAAAUCAUACAAUGAUGAGAUCAUGUUUUAAGUAAAGGACUCGUGAUUAAAUAUGAUUUCACAGGCUUAUGUAGCAGGUAAGCUUUUCCAUCUUAGUUUCAUUUUGUUUACCUGCAAUGAUUUUAGAACUGGCGGCACGGUGGGCGACUGGUUAGAGCGUCAGCCUCACAGUUCUGAGGUGCGGGGUUCAAUCCCCGUCCCCGCCUGUGUGGAGUUUGCAUGUUCUCCCCGUGCCUGCGUGGGUUUUCUCCGGGCACUCCGGUUUCCUCCCACAUCCCAAAAACAUGCAUUAAUUGGAGACUCUAAAUUGCCCGUAGGCAUGACUGUGAGUGCGAAUGGUUGUUUGUUUCGAUGUGCCCUGCGAUUGGCUGGCAACCAGUUCAGGGUGUACCCCGCCUCCUGCCCGAUGACAGCUGGGAUAGGCUCCAGCACGCCCGCGACCCUAGUGAGGAGAAGCGGCUCAGAAAAUGGAUGGAUGGCUGGAUGGAUUUUAGAACUACUGCAGGGGUAACUAUUGAGGGACCAACACACAGUUUGUGUAGUGUAUCAAUACACUCCUUGAGGUCUCAUUAUCCCAUCAUUCUGUGGAAGCAGAUAUGGAAGCAAUGGGGUUGAGAUGACAAUGGAGGUCUACAGCGAGUUGUGUGAGGAAUCCUCUCAGAAUCUCCUAUCGCCUAUUGUAUUGCUGUCUUUUCACUGUUUCAGUCUCACCAGCGGUAGUUUACUCAGUCAGCUAGACACGGGGUUUAAUAAAUCCAGUUGAAAUCCAGUUGGUCUUUCAGAAACUGUUCAGUCUUUGUAACACUUAUCUCUGAAGGCCUUGCAGUUAAUUCAUGAAUGAGGCUUGUCAUGAAUAGGACAAUGUUGUCCAAUCUUGUGAAAAUCCAGUUGACUUGAUUUGGAAGCUUUAAUAAACCACAGUGUGAAACUGUCACACAAAGUAACACGAAAUAGAGAUGGAUACAUACAUGUACAAAGACUAGGCAAAUACAUUAAGGAAAUGUAUGACAUGUAUUCUUACAGAAAAUUGUUAAUACGCAUUAACAGGCAUAGAAGUGGGUGGAGAAAGAUUAAAAUCCACUCAGAAAACCACAAUAGCAGCCAUGCAUGUCGUUCUACUUUCUGACUUAUGACAAAUUUGACUUAUGACGUCUAAACAGGAUAUGAGGAAAUUUCAAAGUGACAUACAAUGGUCAUAAAGGACUCUAAACAAUGAAAGAACACUCCAAAAACAAAGAACACUCCACAGUUGAAAUAGUCCUGAACACACACACACACACACACACACACACACACACACACACACACACACACACACACACACACACACACACACACACACACACACACACACACACACACAGUAAAAUAUACUUCGGCGGCACGGUGGCCGACUGGUUAGAGCGUCAGCCUCACAGUUCUGAGGACCUGGGUUCAAUCCCCGGUCCCGCCUGUGUGGAGUUUGCAUGUUCUCCCCGUGCCUGCGUGGGUUUUCUCCGGGCACUCCGGUUUCCUCCCACAUCCCAAAAACAUUCAUUAAUUGGAGACUCUAAAUUGCCCGUAGGUGUGACUGUGAGUGCGAAUGGUUGUUCGUUUGUAUGUGCCCUGCGAUUGGCUGGCAACCAGUUCAGGGUGUACCCCGGCUUCUGCCCGAUGACAGCUCGGAUAGGCUCCAGCACGCCCGCGACCCUAGUGAGGAGAAGCGGCUCAGAAAAUGGAUGGAUGGAUAAAUAUACUUCCAAAGGUGCUAUUGACCUGAAAAAUUCACCAGACGUUGGGAACAACCCAAGCAAUCCAUACAUAUAAAGACAAUAAUCAAACAACAAUACAGCAAAUGAAUAUCAGCUGGUUCAGUCCUAAUUGAUGGCCUUGAAAAAGAUCUCAUUGCCAAGGUGUGAGUCAAGACACAUCUCAUGAUGGGUAAGAGCAGAGAGCUGUCUCAAGACCAUCACGAACUAAUUGUUGCAAAAUGUAACAUUGAUAUUGGUUUAAGGCUCACAUCUAAGCUUGCGAACCUUUCAGUGAGCACGGUUGGGUCCAUAGUACGUAAGUUGCAAGCUGAUCAUCCAUCCAUCCAUUUUCUGUACCGCUUUAUCCUCACUAGGGUCGCAGGCAUGCUGCAAUCAUACUACCACAAAUUUGCCUCGAUCAGGUGAUCCUCGCAAGAUUUCUGACAGAGGAGUGCAAAUAAUAAUAAGAAGAGUUGCCCAAGAGCCAAGGACCACCUGUGGAGAGCUUCAAAAAGACCUGGAAUGAGCAGGCACUGUUGUCACAAGGAAAACAGUGAGUAAUGUACUCCGCCGCCACGGCCUGUAUGCAUUCUCACCACGCAAGACCCCAUUGCUGAAAACAAAGCAUGUCAAUGUCAUGGGUGUGUGUUAUGGUUGUUGUCUUCCCCCUGUCUUGUAUACACCUGCUCCUGAGAGCAUCUUCCCCACCUGUGCCUUGUUUACCCUAAUUACCCCAUGCAUUUAACCUCGUGUCUCAUUCUUUCUGGUCCCCAGUUCGUUGUACCUUGUUGUCACGUUCCAGCAUUCCUUGUUUCCACGUCACCGACUGAUAGUAAGCCUCGACCCUGUUCUGAUUAUUGACCUUGCCUUUUUGCCUCAUGUUUUUUGCAUACUGUUGCCUUUGCGGAUUGGCUGCCUGUGUACUGACCUCUGCCCGUUUAUUAACCCUCUCUUUUUGAAACUUUCCAUUGAAUUGGAGUCGUCCAUUUUGGGUCCUCUCCUUUGUUCCUUUCAUGACAGAACAAACUGACCCAGCAGACUCAGACCCAGUGCCAAAGCCCUUCGAGCGCAGCGUCAACACAUCUCGAAGGAGGAUGAGCAGCUUGCUGCCCUCCAUCUUCAUCUGAAGAGACUGUCAGAGCAUCAGGACACUAUGAUGAGGCAGGUGGCCUCAGAGUUUGAAGUUCUGAUGAAUAUGGUUCAGAAGAAGGAACCAGCUGGCACAGCACCCGAUGCCGCCACUGUACCACCAUUUCCAUGUGAAGCAGUCACCUGCCACCUGCGCUGCUGUCUGCCCACAGCUCUCUCGACCGGAGAGUUUCGCUGGAGAUUCCGGGAAUAUUAAGCCGUUCAUCACUCAGUGCGAACUCCACUUUGAGCUGCAGGCAGCUGCCUUCCCCAUCGAGCGGGCAAAGGUCGCUUUUGUCAUUUCCCACCUGACUGGUCGUGCGGAGGCGUGCGCUACUGCUGAAUGGAGCCGCAAUUCUGCCGCGUGUCAUUCUUGGGCAUCUUUUGUAAAGACUAUGGAGCAAGUUUUUCAGUAUUGCAUACAAGAUCGUGAGGCAGCUCGCUCCCUUGUCACCUUACAAUAAGCCAAGCGCAGGGUGUCAGAUUACGCGAUUGAGUUUUGCAUUCUAGCAGCUGAGAGUCAGUGGAAUAACAGGGCACUACUCGAUGCAUUCUUUCAAGGACUAUCCCCCGCCCUCAAAGAUCACUUGGUCCCACAAGACCUGCCAAUUGAUUUGGACACUCUCAUCGGUCUCACCAUAAAGAUCGACAAAAUGCUUUUGGAUCACGAGCUGGAGAGAGAUCGGCGGAAGGAUGCGUCAACGUCCACUUAGAGGAUGAGCCUCGGUGACCAGCUAAAGCAAGGCAGAUCCCCUGUUGCCAGUCUCAAUCCACUGGCUAGCGUCACCACGGAUGAACCCAUGCAACUGGGCAGGUUCCGUCUCUCCCCUGAGGAACGUCAACCCCGGCUGAGGGAAGGGCGGUGCUGAGCAACUGUCAUGUCAAAGUUGCGGGUGCCGGUAACAAGGGCACGGGAGCGGUGAGUCUAAAUCUUAUUCAGAAAGACCCUACCCAUGUUCUUCCUAAAGUGACACAAUGCUCUCCAGAUCAAGUGAUUCAUACAUCUGUAUUUAUUGACUCUGGGUCUGACACAAAUUUACUCAACUCCCUCCUAGUUAGACGAAUGCAUCUUACAACCUUUCAAGUAAGAUGCCACCGCAAUGCUUAUGCUGCAGAUGGCAGUUUUAUGGGCAAGAUCACUCACCGCGCCCAAACACUCACAUUAACAUUUCCUGAUUCUCUCUCGGAAGGCAUUAGUUUUCAUGUUUUUGAUGCUAUGAAUUAUGACCUUAUUUUAAGGAACCCUUUGUUGAAAUUACAUAACCCCCACAUUGACUCGUCCUCUGGGCAUGUUAUGUCAUGGGGCAGCAGUUGCGCCCAGAACUGUUUCAAGGCUCCAUGUAAUGUUCAGGGAUAUGUUUUAAAUGAUAUUCCACAGACCCCAUCUGUUGAACCCGACUUAUCGCAAGAGAGGAUUUUGCACACCCUUGUCUUAGUUCUGGCAGCGUGCAAGUCCUCAAUGGUGGGUAGGGGGGUACCGACAAUCCUUUCAGCAGUUUUGAUUGUCCGUUGCAGUCGGAGUUUGUCCUUUUUUGUAGCAGCACCAAACCAGACUGUGAUGGAAGAACACAGGACUGAUUCGACUACCGCUGUGUAGAACUGUCUCAGCAGCUCCGGUGGCAGGCCGUGCUUUCUCAGAAGCCGCAGGAAGUACAUCCUCUGCUGGGCCUUUUUGAGGACGGAGUUGAUGUUAGUCGCCCACUUGUUCUCCAGGUUGUGUCGGCCGCACCACAGCUCCAGCCGCUCCACUUCCUGUCGAUAUGUAGACUCGUCACCGUCCUUGAUGAGGCCGAUGACAGUGGUGUCAUCUGCAAACUUCAGGAGUUUGACAGUCUCCCCAGAUGAGGAGACUCACAUUAUUCAUGUCCACUCUGUGUUGCAGCGGUUACUGCAGAAUGAAGUAUAUGUCAAGGCUGAGAAAUGUGAGUUCCUCAAGGCAUCUGUUUCUUUUCUGGGUUUCGUGCUGGCUCAAGGUGAAAUCAAAAUGAACCCUUGCAAAGUUGAUGCCGUGACUAAUUGCCCACUCCCACGGCACGCAAGGACGUACAAAGGUUCUUAGGGUUCGCAAAUUUCUACAGAAAGUUCAUUAGAAAUUUCAGUUCAAUAGCCUCGCCUUUGCAUGAUCUUACCCGCCACACAGACCCUUUGUGUGGAACCCGCUUUGUCAGUCAGCUUUUCAAAAACUAAAAUUGAGCUUUACCUCCGCUCCCGUCCUCACUUUGCCAGAUCCCAAACAGCAGUUUGUUGUAGAAGUUGAUGCAUCUGAUGCCGGAAUAGGAGCAGUGCUCUCCCAGAAAUGUCUCAAGGAUGGUAAAUUACAUCCAUGUGCUUAUCUCUCUAAAAAAACUGACUCCAGCCGAGAGAAAUUAUGACAUAGGUGAUUGUGAACUGCUGGCUGUCAAGGUGGAGUGGAGGCACUGGCUCGAAGGGGCUUUGACCCCGUUUUUAGUAUGGACAGAUCACAAGAACCUUGAGUAUCUUAAGUCUGCUAAAAGAUUAAAUGCUAGGCAGGCUAGAUGGGCUCUAUUCUUCACAAUAUUUAAUUUCACGUUAUCCUACCGACCUUGUUCUAAAAAUGGUAAGCCAUAUGCUUUAUUAUGUAUUUUCUGCGAAGAGAAUUAUUUGUCCGACCCUAAAGCCAUUUUCCCAAGUCAUGUUUUAUUUCUGCUUUUGUUUGGGACAUUGGAACUGUGGUAAAAGAGGCUCUGAAUAACACUCUUAACCCUGAAGAUUGCCUUGAAAACAGGUUUUAUGUGGUCCCGACCUUAAUGGGAAGAGUUAUCCACUGGGCUCACACUAACAGAAUCAGAAUCAUCUUUAUUUUGCCAAGUAUGUCCAAAAAACGCACAAGGAAUUUGUCUCCGGUAGUUGGAGCUGCUCUAGUACGACAACCGACAGUCAAUUGACAGAGAACACUUUUAAGACAUAAAGACAUUGAGAAAAACGGUCACUGAGCAAUAAAGGUUUGCUUGUUAUCUGGUAAUGCCGGUACAAUUUUUUAUUUUUUUGACAAUUGUGCAAAAAGAUGCAAAGUCCUCCAGCACUUAGAGCAGUUUGAAUGACUAAUGCAGCAAUAGUCCGGUGCAAUGACAUUGUGCAAAGGGCGCCGAGACUUCAAGGAGUGUAUGCAGUUGAAAGUGACGAGUAGCGCGAUAAUCUGGGACAAUGUUGAUUGUGGAAAUGUUGCAGAUACUCCUCAGUCAGUGUGCAAGUGGUGCAGAUGCUACUCUGGCAUGAGUGGCCAGUAUUGGUCAACAACAGAUAUGCAAAUAGUGCAGCGUGGCGAGACUACUACAGUGAGUGCACGAGUAAUAUAUAAUUGGCCAGACAGAAAUGUGACAACAAACUCAAGACAAAAAAACAGGACUGUAUGUCACCCAGGGAUUGCCAAAACGCAAUCUGUGGCCGAACAGCGCUUUUGGUGGCCUAAUGUUAGACAAGAUGUUAUCCAUUACGUCAAUGCUUGCCAGGUAUGCACUGCUAACAAGCCCUCUUGUCAACGUCCUUCUGGGGAGUUGCGACCCCUGCCAAUACCACAACGUCCUUGGUCAGACAUUUCCGUAGACUUUGUGACAUGAUUACCGGCCACUAAAGGAAAUACCACCGUUCUCACAGUUGUUGACAGGUUCUCUAAGAUGGCACACUUUAUUGCACUGCCGAAACUGCCGAGUUGAUGAUAAACCAGGUAUUCAAGUUGCAUGGUUUUCCCAAGAAUAUGGUAUCGGAUAGGGGCCCCCAAUUCGUUUCAUGAUUUUGGAAGGAGUUUUGCAGUUUAAUAGGUGCUACCAUCAGUCUGUCAUCUGGGUUUCAUCCUGAAACAGAUGGACAAACUGAGAGGCUGAACCAGGACCUGGAAACUGGGCUCCGAUGUCUCGCUUCACAGGAGCCACAAUCCUGGACUCAGAAGCUGGUUUGGGUUGAUUUCUCUCACAAUUCUCUCCCCUCUGCAUCCACUGGUCUAUUGCCGUUUCACAUUGUGCAUUGUUACCAACCAUCUCUGUUUCCUGCCAUAGCCCCAGAGUCCACGGUUCCAUCUGCAUUGACCUUGGUGAGAUGCUGCAGGAGGACCUGGGAGCGAGCCCGCCAAAUGAUGCUACGCCAAGGACAGUCCUACAAGACUGCAGCUGACUGUAAGAGGACACCGGCCCCGAACUACAAAGUGGGUCAGCGAGUUUGGCUCUCCACCAAGCAUCUUCCACUCUGGGUGGAGUCCCAGAAGCUGGCUUCCAGGUUCAUUGGGUCCUUCCUCAUCACAAAGGUCAUCAACCCUGUCACCAUGAAGCUUAGGCUCUCAAGGUCGAUGCGGGUCCACCCUGCAUUUCACGUCGGCCUGCCUCCCAGGCCCCCUCCGCCCCCUCGUUUUGUGGACGGGGGCCCCGUCUUCACGGUGAGGUGGCUGUUGUCGUCUCGUCGGAGAGGAGGGGGUUGCAAUAUCUGGUGGACUGGCAGGGCUACGGGCCUGAGGAAUGUUCAUGGGUGCCGUCUAGGCUUGUCGUUGAUGACUCGCUCAUUCGGGACUUCCAUGUUGCGCAGCCUGAGGCUCCCGGAGCUCCGGGGCUGUCUGGGGCCGGCCAUUAAGGGGGUGGCGGGGGGGGUUACUGUCAUGGGUGUGUGUUAUGGUUGUUGUCUUCCCCCGUUGUUGUCUUGUCUCGUACACACCUGAUCCUGAGAGCAUCUUCCCCACCUGUGACUCGCUUACCCUAAUUACCCCAUGUAUUUAACCUCGUGUCUCAUUCUUUCUGGUCGCCAGUUCGUUGUACCUUGUUUUCACAUUCCAGCAUUCCUUGUUUCCACGUAACUGAGUCAGACCCUGUUCUGAUUAUUGACCUUGCCUUUUUGCCUCACGUUUUUUGGAUACUGUUGCCUUUGCGGAUUGCCUGCCUGUGUACCGACCUCUGCCCGUUUAUGAAACCUCUCUUUUUGAAACUGUCCAUUGAAUUGGAGUCGUGCAUUUUGAGUCCUGUCCUUUGUUCUGUUCAUGACAGUCAAAGGUCUUUUAAAGUUUGCUGAACAACAUUUGGACAAGCCAGUUAACACUAGAAAACCCAGGGUUUUCUUACUCUUGCUGAAAUGCCUAGUGGACAGCCCAAAGGCUCUGUGGUUUAAAAUUAACAACUCAACGGCCUACAAUUAGCCACUUUUCUUUUGUAAAUGCGGCCAUUUUUCCCAGAUUAGCGGUACACAGACGUGACACGCGUUAAGUGCUUGACUGAUUGUCUAACAGGGACAUCGGAAUGUGGUCGUCCACAAGAAUGCUCAGCUUGAAAAAAGAAAGAUUUAUCAAAACAAGUUUUGGUCAACACCACUUUGUGUGAUGUUGAAAAUAGCAUAAGCAAGUUGAUGAUUAGCCGGCAUGGUGGGCGACUGGUUAGCACAUCUGCCUCACAGUUCUGGGGGGGUUCAACCGGCCCCGCCUGUCUGGAGUUUGCCUGUUCUCCCCAUGCCUGGGUGGGUUUUCUCCGGGUACUCCGGUUUCAUCCCACAUCCCAUAAACAUGCAUGGUAGGUUAAUUGAAGACUCUAAAUUGCCCGGAGGAGUGAAUGUGUGUGCGAAUGGUUGUUUGUUUCUAUGUGCCCUGCGAUUGGCUGGCGACCAGUUUAGGGUGUACCCCGCCUCCCGCUCAGAGAUAGCUGGGAUAGGCUCCAGCAGCCCACGACCCUCGUGAGGAUAAGCGAUAAAGACAAUGGAUGGAUGGAAGUUGAUUAUUUUUCACAAAAUAAUGGUGAAACAGUCAACAGGCCUCCCUCCUAUUUCUUCCAUAGUCCAUAUUCAAGUGGCCUUGUGCAAAACUUCCAUUGACAUUUUGAUUUUUCAAUAUAGUUUUAUUUCAUUUAUUUUAUUAAUUUAUUUAUUAUUUAUAUUUGUCUUGAUAGCACUACUUUCAUGUAUAAAUGAAUGGUAUGUGUAUGUUAUAUAUAAACUACAUACUUUUUUUAUAACCAUUAAGCACUUUGUGCAACUGUGGAUGUUGUAAGAGUGCUGUAUAAAUAAACAUGGAAAAUCCUAGUGAAAAAAACAAACUAAGAAAAUAAAUAAAUAAAUAGAUAUAAAACCAGGCCUACUGGGUGUGGUAUGGAGGAUCGGUCGGGAGAGAAUACAUUCUGGCCGGACGAGAGCACAAUUGAACUGUUUGGAUCCCAUAAUGCACACCAUGUUUGGAUGAAAAAUGGCACUGCACAUCACCCUAAAAACACCACACCAACAGUGAAGUUCGGAGGUGGGAACAUGAUGGUGUGCGGCUGCUUUUCAGCAAAUGGUACUGGUAAACUUUGCAUUAUUGAAGGAAGGAGGAAUGGGCAAAUAAGACAAACCGAGACAUCUUUGACGAGUACGAUGAAAAUGAAAUCAGGGUGGACAUUUCAGCAGGAUAAUGAUCCAAAACAUACUGCCAAAGAAACUCUCAAUUGGUUUCAAAGAAAAAAAAUAAAGCUGUUCGAAUGGCCCAGCCAAUCACCUGACUUGAAUCCAAUUGAAAAUCUAUGGAAAGAACUGAAACUCAAGCUCCAUAUAAGAAGCCCACGGAACCUUCAAGAUUUGAAGACUGCUUGUGUGGAAGAAUGGGCCAAAAUCACACCAGAGCAAUGCAUGCAACUAGUUUUUCCAUACAGAAAGGAUCUUGAAGCUGUCAUUGCAAACAAAGGCUUUUGUACAAAAUAUUAAAUAAAUACCAGUUGGUGUGUUGAA